GACGUAGGGCGCGAGCGUUGUCCGGAUUUAUUGGGCGUAAAGAGCUCGUAGGCGGCUUGUCGCGUCGACCGUGAAACCUCACAGCUCAACUGUGAGCCUGCGGUCGAUACGGGCAGGCUAGAGUUCGGUAGGGGAGACUGGAAUUCCUGGUGUAGCGGUGAAAUGCGCAGAUAUCAGGAGGAACACCGGUGGCGAAGGCGGAUCUCUGGGCCAUUACUGACGCUGAGGAGCGAAAGCGUGGGGAGCGAACAGG
rnacentral:rRNA from 1 species